GCAGCGCUGGAAGCCCGCUUCCAGCGAGGAUCGCAAC
rfam:Saccharothrix espanaensis DSM 44229 complete genome